CAAUUCCCCACCCCAAAGAGCUACCCUGACCAGAUUUGGCCGCUUCCUCCUCUGCCUCCCGCUAACCCUAGUCCAGCACCCCGAGAUCUGCUCCGCGCGAGCAGCCAUGGCGGAGACGCUCGACAUGACCCUCGAUGACAUCAUCAAGAACAACAAGAAGAGUAACCCCUCCUCCGGCGGGGCCCGCCGCAGCCGCGGCGGAUCCGCCCCUGGCGGCGGCAGCGGCGGGGUCGGGCCGACCAGGCGCUCCUUCAAGAGGGCUGGGAACAGGCAGGCGCCCUACCAGCCGCCGAAGGCCCCUGACGCUGCGUGGCAGCACGACAUGUACCCUGCGGUCGCCGCAGGAGGCGGCGGCGGCGGGAGGGUCUCGGCGCUCGAGACGGGCACCAAGCUCUACAUCUCCAACCUGGACUUUGGGGUUUCGAACGACGAUAUCAAGGAGCUGUUCUCUGAGCUAGGUGAUCUGAAGCGUUUUUCGAUAAUAUAUGAUCGAAGUGGGAGGUCUAAGGGAACAGCUGAAGUUGUAUUUGCAAGGCGUUCUGAUGCUGUAGCGGCGGUGAAGAAAUAUAACAAUGUCCAACUUGAUGGUAAGCCCAUGAAGAUAGAGAUAGUUGGGACCAAUACUCCAACUGCAUCUGCUGCUCUUCCAGUCUCCAAUGGUGGCCAUGCUAGGAAUGCUGUGAGGAGUGCACCGAGGGGUGCUGCCCCAGCAGGUGUGCCGCAGCGAAGACCUCAUCAGAGGGGUGGGAGGCGUAGUGGUGGAUCUGGGGGUGGUCGUCGUGGCAAGGAGCGCAGCAAGCCAAAGUCGGCUGAAGAACUCGACGCUGACUUGGAGAAGUAUCAUGCUGAUGCGAUGCAGACCAACUAAAUGUGUUCACAAAUUUGAUAUUCAACAUCAAAUAUCAAGCACAUUAGUCCUUCCAUUCCAGCUGUUUGUGCUACUAUGUUCAGGGGACAACAAACCUUAUGUUUGUGGGGGUAUUGCUUUACUGAAUUUUGUGGGUUUUGUUUACAAUAGAACUAGAGUUGGAUGAUGCUGAGUACUUCCAUGGAAAUUACUUGCUUGCCUUUAGUUUCUGUACCUAAUGCCGAGGAGACAAGAAUCAUCCAAGUUACUCGACAUGUGAAAGUUGAUGAUGUAUGAAGGUACCCACAUUUCCUUUGACCCCCCACCGUAUAAUAUAUCUUGGAGGUAAAAGAGACUGGGCUUCAGAUGUUCCUUGGUGAUCUAGUUGUGCGCUUUCGAUCUGGUAUUGCUCAGAUGUUUCUCCGCUGUAGGCUGGUUCAAGAUCAAGCCAUCUAAGGAGGAGGUGGCCUGUUCAUAUUGUGAAACAUCAUGAUGCUUAUUUUGGGCAUCUUAAGCUAUCUUCUCUGGCACAUCAAUGAUUUCAUGAGCUUCAAGGCCCCUUUAUUUUAAAAGUUGAUUCUUUGCAUAAUCCUCUCUGUGGGUGCCUACAAAGUUUAAAUGUGGACAUGGCUGUCACUAGUCUCAUUGAAGCAUCAUGGUGCAAAUCCUGCUUCAAGGUCUGCUAUUGAUAGCUUAGAGAUGGCUGUGAUGUCAAUGCCUCAGCAUUAAUUUGGACUUCUAGGCCUUCCUUGCGUAUUUAUGCUUUAUAUAAGCAUAUGGGGUAUGGUCGAUCUUGUCUAUUGCCCUUCGGAGUUCCUUUCAACUUCGCUUGAGCCUUUGAUGGCACAAUUGGAGUCAUGUGCCUCUGCUCAGAAAAUCAGUUUUUAACUGAAACCCUUCCCUUUUGCUUGCUUCCUUGCUUCGUCAAUGGUGAUACCAGCUAUUUUAGCAUCAAUCUUGGCGGUGUGAAUCCCAAGUGGCUGUGGUUUUAAUCUUCCUGGUUUUUUUUGGCACUGAUGAUAUUGAUAUAGCUAUGAUGUUAUUGAUAUAGUAUACUCCCUUCAUUCUUUUUUAUUUGUCGCUGUUUAGUUAAAAAAUGAACUAGCAGUCAACAAAUAUUAUCAUUUUAGGAAUUCAU